rnacentral:rRNA from 1 species
CCUACGGGAGGCAGCAGUGAGGAAUAUUGGUCAAUGGGCGAGAGUCUGAACCAGCCAAGUAGCGUGAGGGAUGACUGCCCUAUGUGUUGUAAACUUCUUUUAUAAGGGAAUAAAGUGUUCGACGUGUGGGCGUGUGUGUGUACCAUAUGAAUAAGGAUCGGCUAACUCCGUGCCAGCAGCCGCGGUAAUACGGAGGAUGCGAGCGUUAUCCGGAUUUAUUGGGUUUAAAGGGUGCGUAGGCGGACCGUUAAGUCAGUGGUAAAAUUGAGGGGCUCAACCCCUUCCAGCCAUUGAAACUGGCGGUCUCGAGUGGAAGAGAAGUACGCGGAAUGCGUGGUGUAGCGGUGAAAUGCUUAGAUAUCACGCAGAACCCCGAUUGCGAAGGCAGCAUGCCGGCUCCCGACUGACGCUGAGGCACGAAAGCGUGGGUAUCGAACAGGAUUAGAUACCCGAGUAGUC